GCCAGCACAGUGUAGUGGUUUGAGUGUUGGACUAUGACUCUGGAGACCAGGGUUCAAAUCCCUGUUCAGCCA
rnacentral:tRNA from 1 species